UAAAAAGCUGUGACGGAGAAGAGUAAGGUCGUCUGAAAAGUAUUCAGCGAAUCUGGUACGGUGUGAGCAGAUAUACUUCCCGCCCUGAAAAUCCCUCCCGAGCUUCCGACUGAAAAACCUGGUAGGGUAAAGUAAGUUUGGACGGUCCCGUCAGCCGUUAUCCUUGACGAGGGCAUAAAUCGUGUCCUUAAAGAGUGCUCCCCGAUUUAUCGGGGAGAAUUUGGGUGGUACCGCGGGAAUUUAAAGUCUCGUCCCUUAA
rnacentral:ncRNA from 1 species